CUUUUUGGAGAGUUUGAUCCUGGCUCAGGACGAACGCUGGCGGCGUGCCUAAUACAUGCAAGUCGAGCGGACCGAACGGAAGCUUGCUUCUGUUCGGUUAGCGGCGGA
rnacentral:rRNA from 1 species